GAUGAACGCUAGCGGCAGGCUUAACACAUGCAAGUCGAGGGGCAUCACGGGUAGCAAUACCUGGUGGCGACCGGCGCAAGGGUGCGUAACGCGUGAGCAACAUGCCCUAUACAGGGGGAUAAUCCAGGGAAACUUGGUCUAAUAUCCCAUAGCAUUUAGAGGUGGCAUCACCAUUAAAUUAAAGCUUCGGUGGUAUAGGAUUGGCUCGCGUGACAUUAGCUAGAUGGUGGGGUAACGGCUCACCAUGGCUAUGAUGUCUAGGGGUUCUGAGAGGAAGACCCCCCACACUGGGACUGAGACACGGCCCAGACUCCUACGGGAGGCAGCAGUGAGGAAUAUUGGACAAUGGAUGGAAAUCUGAUCCAGCCAUGCCGCGUGCAGGAAGACGGCCCUAUGGGUUGUAAACUGCUUUUAUAUGGGAGCAAAUAAGGUCUACGAGUAGACCGAUGAGAGUACCAUAUGAAUAAGCAUCGG
rnacentral:rRNA from 1 species